rnacentral:rRNA from 1 species
CACGUAGGGCGCAAGCGUUGUCCGGAAUUAUUGGGCGUAAAGAGCUCGUAGGCGGUCUGUUGCGUCUGCUGUGAAAACCCGGGGCUUAACCCCUGGCUUGCAGUGGAUACGGACAGACUAGAGGUAGGUAGGGGAGAAUGGAAUUCCCGGUGUAGCGGUGAAAUGCGUAGAUAUCAGGAGGAACACCGGUGGCGAAGGCGGGUCUCUGGGCCGAUACUGACGCUGAGGAGCGAAAGCGUGGGGAGCGAACAGG